CUUUUUUAAUAUUUCAGUCCCUUUACUUGGCUUUAUUCAUUUUCCUCACUUCCAAAACAAAAAUUUAAUGGAAAAAUCAAGUCCUUCAAAAUGGACCAAAAACAUAUACCGACUCCCAAUUGUAAUUUCACCAAUGAUCAGCAACAAAACAAUCACGAGUGACUAGCAAGGGUCAUUCAAUCCUAAUAUUAUCUGCAGUGAUGAAGACAUCAAGAAAGCAAUGGAGAGUACUGCACAAGGUUUUCAUACAAUGGAAAAACCUGUGACGUUAUUUCAACAUUGACCAUUCAGUUUAUGGGGAGUAAGAAUCCACCUUCAGUUCUGUGAAGCUCCAUUUCCCCUCAUUCCCAAACAUGUCAAAAGCCUAUCGCUUCUCACUUCUCUCCGAAUUGUACGGAAAUCUUUUUUCUUUCAAAUCAUUUUCCCCUUUCUCCCAUUUAAGCGUCACUUAUUUGAAGCAACUCAAAAAGUCUUAUAACAGGAAGCGAAGAAUAAACGAGAAGCUUAAUAUGCUUUACGAUUAUAUUGUUGACUGCAACAAAAUUAAACCACUACAAGUUAACUGUACGUUCAUCGGACAGGGAUUGAGUAGCCUCUUAAAGAGGUCAGACAUCUCCCGUGUCAUUUUCAAGAAGAUUUUUUAGUGCCGCAAAAUGAAUUAUGCUAGGUAAUUGUAUAUUUGAGGGUUGCUCUUGUCUCGCAACAGGUACUCCCUGUCGAUGAGGCUCUCUAUCCUUUUCUUCAAAUCCGCUGGCUUGAUAGGAAACUUAAGCUGUUAAACAUAAGAAACAAAAUUUUCAUCAAAAUCAUAGUUCAUUUUGAUACAGCUUAAAAAAUGGGUUAGUUGACAUCCUCCGGUCAGUUUACUCAGGUCACUGAUGGCUGGUUUAAUUGCAAUGUUAACACUUUUCAAUCCCCAAUGAAGAAACAGGUCAGAACUCAGAAUACAAUUAAAAUGCAUUUUGGAUGGGAAAUUUGAAAUCCAGGAUCUGAACGAGUAUAUGAAUCAAAUUUUAUAAUUUGAGAUUUUGACUUGGAAUGUGUGUGGCUUCCAUAUUACGUUGAUUCAGUUUACAUGCUCGAGGCAAAUAAAAUGGAAUAUACUUAUCUGUUGGAAGAGUUCAGUAAUCAGAAGUGUGUGACUUAGUACUUUCCUUGUCUUCAUUAUCCGAACAAUAGCAGCAUCAACCUGGUAUUGUCGGUCUUGAAAUACUCUCUCAGUGGUGCUUGUGUUCUCCUCUACAGUUUCCUUCAUCUGGAUUGCAUUGACCUUUAUACGAUAUAGAGGAGCAGUAAAUCCCUCAUUGAAAACAAAUAAAUCAUCAUCCUCCACAUCCCUCCCUUUAGGCAGCUUUUGCAGGACACGAACUUUUCCACAUGCAAGGGACUGCAAAGUCCGUCUCAGUUCUUUGUCCUCUAUGCUAGUGGCAUCCUUAAUAUCUUGAAAGCUAAGCUUUUGGGCAUCAUUAAACAACAUCAAAACGACAGUCUGGCACACAACACAUAAAGCCCUGAACUAUUAGAAUGCGUCCACUUGUGCAGGUCAUGGAGAAAUCACAGGAGCAAAGAGAAAAGACCAUGAAAAAGUAAAGGGUAGAAGACUAUGAAACCAGCCUGAAAUAGAGAAACUGCCAGCUCCUUUUUACCUUUCGGAAAUUCAGCUUUCAACACACAGUGACCCAAUGAAUUUUGCCACAUUAAGCGCCUGCCACUAUAUUUACUUAAGUAGAAUUCUUUGAAAAUAUCCUGUAGCAUAUAGGGAAUUAGGCAUCAGAUGAUCAUUUAUUGAAUGCUCAUAAAGACUAUUUGACUUGUAAAAAAAAAACAGCUACUGGGUAACUUGUGCACAACCUGAUAGACAUUUAGCUCGUGAGGAAGCCUAACAUCCAUGGGCGGAUAUAUAGGCCAGUACCUGCAACCAACUCAACAAACCAAGAAUCAAAAAUUGAGGCACCAUGUAUUGGCUAACAAUACAAUGCAUACUUGGAAUCUAAAAUCGGCUUCUAAACCUACCCUGUUGUUAAAACAUGGACACUCAUCUCAAUCCCCGAUGGAAGUUUUGUCCUUGCCUGGGAUGAUUGUUUGAAGGAUUCAUUUAUCUCCUUUGAAAGUUCAAUAUCCUUAAACAUUCCUUCAAGUUUGUUUGUAAACUGGCUGCCGCACUCGGUCUUCAGCUUUGAUAUCAUAGAUUUUUCUGCAUCGAUAGAAGCACUUUUUCCCAAUAGUAGUCUUUUAGCAAGAUCUUUCUUAUAAAAUGCUUCAAACACAUCCUUGCCCUGAAUAAACCUGAACAAAACCAAAACUUUAUCAAGCGUACCCUCCAACUCCUCUUCAGAGGUUCCCUUAUUUCCAGCACGAAGCUUCUCAUCCAGAAACUUUGCAAUCAGCUCAGCCGGCCGGUUCUGACGAAGAUUAAUUAGAUGUUCAAAUGCAUCUUUUAUCGUAUUGCAAAAUGCUUCAUUCUUAGAAAAGCUUUCUUCCCAUAUUGUGUCAAGAGAAGCCUUAAAUUCUAACAAGGAUGAAACCAUAUCCUUAUCUUUUUCUUCAUCCAUGAUAAUGCCUUGUCCAGUUCUUCGAAUGUAUGAGCUAAGAGCCUGCCUUAAUGAUUCAAGGGCAUUGACCCUUAAGAAUAAUGAGUACAUUCUCUUAAGAUCCUCAGUUCUAUGGCCAUCCAUUAGCAUCAUGAACCCCUUAUCCAGAAUUGCAGAUAUAUGACGUUCAAGAAGCUGCCUUUCAGCAGUUGCUAUUAGAGGCUUUCUAGUACUUGCAUCAAGAUAGAGUAAGCAUCUUUCAUGUUCUUCAUGCAACCUCAUCUCCACAUGCUUCAAGUAAUCUGGAACAUCCGAUUGCUGCAUGUAUUUCAUGCCUUCAGCAGCAUAAAAUUCAGAUGUGCAAUCCAGAAAUGGUCUUUCAAAGCUUUCAGCAUAAAUUCCUAAAGCAGUAAACAUCUUCAAAAGAUGGUUUAGGAGAGUUCUAUCAACAGAUUCACCCAAUCUUUCCCUCUCAAUCAUUCGCAAAAGGCCUGUGACAGUUUUGUGCUCAACUUCAGGAGACAAAGCAAGAUGUUUCCGGAAAAGGUGCAAACCCAUGUCCCACAAUGAACGUACAUUUGGGGUUUGUUUCACAUAUGUUCUAUCUAGAUACAAGGCUAUACCACGAAUCAUCAGCAUUUGGUCACAUAGAUCUUGCCAGCAUCUCUCAACCAGUGAUAAGAAAACCACCAAAUCUGGGCUUUGACCAACCAAAGAUUGUAAUACUGCAUAAAUAUGGGAUUCACAUUCUUUUUCAAUUCGCUGAUAAAGAUUACCACCCAUCUUGUGCAGACAAAGAUCAUUGACAGCCUGAUAAAGCUUCUCCAAGUCACAGGAAUCUGGUUGCUUCAAGAAUAUAGCUUUAAUAGCUGACUGCAGCUUUGCCCAUGUAUCCACCUCAAAAUGUGCAGGCAGUGUUGGUUUAGCUUUCACGAGCUUGAUGACAAGCUUCUUCGCGGGCUGAGGAGGAGUGGCUUUUUUGCGAGAUAAAUUUGCGGCUGGGGGAGGAGAGCGGUCGUCAAGCUUGGGAUCGUCAUCGAGAGUCAUGGAAGAGGGGUCGAAUACGACGUCGUUAUCGGCAGCAGUGCUGGGAAUGAAGUUAUGGAGGCCGUUUUUGUUACAAGAUGGGUCGAGAGAGGAGCACGCAGAGACAGCCUGAGACUUGGCCUUCUUCAUAGGAGGAAAAUUAGCUGUGGCGCUGGCGGAGGAGCUAGAGGUGGUGGCGGUGGCAGAGCGUUUGGUGGGGAGAGACAUUAACAAAAAAGGUGAUCUCCUAAGAGGGCAUUGUAUAAAAGUAAAAAAUGAAAAAUAAAAUGAGAGAAGGGAUAUGAUUAUGAAGAUAUGGGAAGAAAUAGAGCUAGAAGGGGAG
rnacentral:misc_RNA from 1 species